AAGUGUUUUUAGGUGUCUUGUGUGUCAAAACUUUUUUGCGAACGAAAGUUCCAUCUCUUUGCGAUUGCACGAAGAAUUGUACAGAAUGCAGAUUUGGUUACCACGUCCCCCAUAGCCUUGUGUGCAUUUAUCUGCCGUGGUUUUUCCCAAAAAAGUUUAAUCUUGCUGUGCGCCAGACUAUAUUGGAAUACCAAACUGUUUUAUUGAUGUGCCUGCUUUUAUUGUCGUAGUAUUGGCCUUAUGAAGUUUAUUUGUAUGAAGAUGUACAUACUUCAAAACAAAAAAAUCACUAGUAUUUUCCACUUAGUUUCAUCAUAGCUGGCUUGCUGAAUAUGCAUUGAAGGAUCUUUUUUUAUAACUAAGUUUAAAAUGUAUGUUUCUUGUACCACUGUCAUUUUGCCUCUGAAGCAGAACUUGUUCAGUUCGAAACGUCAGGCCGUCUUAAUUUUUUUUAUUUGUAUAUUUUAGGUCAAUCGAGUCAGAAAGAAGUUUGCAGCAGUCUGAUUCAUUUUUAAGUUUAAAUAAGUGCGUUUCUGAAAAUAGGAUUUUGCAUAUAUGACAAUCUCAUACAGCUUUUUAAUAUUUAAAGCUUAUUUUUGUGCGUGUAAUAGUGCGUUCACAAUUUGGAGAGGUAUAUAAUUUGGAGAAAUAUAUUGUUCAAAGUUGAUAAGCUGCAAAUUACCCAAUCCGUUAAAAUGGACUCUUUAUUUGUGUGUCAUCAAGCCAGUUUUUCAUUAUCAACAAUAAUAUGAAGUGCAAAGGUGUACAAAUUAAUUAUUACUGCCCCCCCCCCUCCCCAAACAAUUUGUAAUUUGAAGUGUAUGGAAUUUCUAAUUGAUUUUGACAUAAACAGCCAACAUUAUAAUGUGAAGUUUAAUACAUGUAUUCACGGACCUAUUUUUAUGAAUAUAAUCAUUUUGUAAAAAUAUAAACAUGAAAUAAU